rnacentral:ncRNA from 2 species
UCGAACGAUAGAGGCGCGGACGCGAGGAGCCUCGGGCGAGCCGGCAGGCCGGCAGCGACCCCGAGGGGAGGCAGAUCCGCCGAAUUCGCCGGCAUCCUCAGCCUGGGGGACGGCGGAUGGGCCUGCGGGAGAUACCCGCUGGACUGUCUGCCUGCAAAAUGCACGAAAUUGAUUGGUUUUCGUGAAUUUGUGAGCAGUUGCGCUAUCUUGACC